rnacentral:rRNA from 1 species
GAUGAACGCUGGCGGCGUGCUUAACACAUGCAAGUCGAACGGUGAAGGCGGAGCUUGCUCUGCUGGAUCAGUGGCGAACGGGUGAGUAACACGUGAGCAAUCUGCCCCUGACUCUGGGAUAAGCGCUGGAAACGGCGUCUAAUACUGGAUACGAGCUGCGAAGGCAUCUUCAGCAGCUGGAAAGAACUUCGGUCAGGGAUGAGCUCGCGGCCUAUCAGCUUGUUGGUGAGGUAACGGCUCACCAAGGCGUCGACGGGUAGCCGGCCUGAGAGGGUGACCGGCCACACUGGGACUGAGACACGGCCCAGACUCCUACGGGAGGCAGCAGUGGGGAAUAUUGCACAAUGGGCGAAAGCCUGAUGCAGCAACGCCGCGUGAGGGACGACGGCCUUCGGGUUGUAAACCCCUUUUAGCAGGGAAGAAGCGAAAGUGACGGUACCUGCAGAAAAAGCGCCGGCUAACUACGUG